UGAGCGAAAGUCACAUUUUAUUGAAGUAAAAUACCAACACAGCUCACCAUUACCUGGCUCCAAUGCUUGAUCAAUGGUCUGAUGAACUUUCCCCUGUCCUAUGUGCUCCUGGUCUAGUGGAGAUGGAGCUGCAGUCAGUAAGGACGAACACGACAAUGUCUAAAUUGUUUUGCAGACAAACAGAAACUGCCAUUAUUUUGCGUGACUCAAAUUGUGUCAGAUGUGUGGGGGUAUCUGUAUAAAAAUACAUUUGUAGCAAAGUACCAAAAGUGGUUCAAUCAGCAGGAACAUUCCAUUGGUUUCCACGGUUACAGCCCAUGUCAUAGACCAUUGUCUGCAGCACUGAGUUAAUAAACUGCUAACCAUGAAAACAGAAAUGUUU